rnacentral:tRNA from 1 species
AUUCUUAUAGUUUAAUUAAAACAAUAGCUUUUCUUUCUAUAAAAUUCCCUUUUCAGGAAUAAGAAUU